rnacentral:rRNA from 1 species
CUGCAAGUCGAACGGAUUGGCGCCUAGCGGAAGCCUGCCGGAGGUAGUGAUCACGAGAAAUCGUGAGAGCUGCGGAUGGCUGGCCGAGGCUAUUAGCCGGUCAGUGGCGGACGGGUGAGUAACACGUGGGUGACCUGCCCCGAAGUGGGGGAUAACCAUCCGAAAGGAUGGCUAAUACCGCAUGUGGUGCAGCAUUCAUUUGCUGGACUAAAGGAGCAAUCCGCUUUGGGAGGGGCCCGCGGCCCAUCAGCUAGUUGGUAGGGUAAUGGCCUACCAAGGCAGUGACGGGUAGCUGGUCUGAGAGGACGAUCAGCCACAUUGGCACUGAGACACGGGCCAAACUCCUACGGGAGGCAGCAGUGAGGAAUAUUGCGCAAUGGGCGAAAGCUUGACGCAGCAACGCCGCGUGGGCGACGAAGGUCUUCGGAUCGUAAAGCCCUUUUUCCAGAGGAAGAGGAAGGACAGUACUUCUGGGAAUAA